UACGUAGGCAGCAAGCGUUGUUCGGAGUUACUGGGCGUAAAGGGCGUGUAGGCGGUUAGUUAAGUCUGGCGUGAAAGCUCUCGGCUAAACCGGGAGAGGUCGUUGGAUACUGGCUGACUAGAGGACGGUAGAGGCGUGUGGAAUUCCGGGUGUAGUGGUGAAAUGCGUAGAGAUCCGGAGGAACACCAGUGGCGAAGGCGACACGCUGGGCCGUACCUGACGCUAAAGCGCGACAGCAUGGGGAGCAAACGGG
rnacentral:rRNA from 1 species